CUACUUAUCUGGCAAGAGAGAUACCAUGGUUAUGAAGGUAGUUUUCCCAGGGCGAGGCUUAUCCAUUGCACUUGGAUGUGCUGACCUCUGUGACUUCCCCAAAUAUGGGAAAAUCAACUGCAUAAUUUGUGGUAGUGGGGACUGUGUUCAUGGUCUCCCCU